GGUGGGUGGUGUGCACUGUGUCUGUCUGCUUAGUGCCAUCUCCAGUCUGUGUUUUACAGGCUGUGUGGCUGUACUCACACCUCACCAGCAGCCACAGAGCCACUGGAGAUCAUAGUACUGGCUUAGUGUCCACCACUGGCUAGCCCUCAAUCUCUCUUACAAAC